rnacentral:rRNA from 1 species
UACAGAGGGUGCAAGCGUUAAUCGGAAUUACUGGGCGUAAAGCGUGCGUAGACGGUUAUGUAAGUCGGGUGUGAAAGCCCCGGGCUCAACCUGGGAAUGCCAUUCGAGACUGCAUAGCUAGGGUGCGGAAGAGGGAAGCGGAAUUUCCGGUGUAGCGGUGAAAUGCGUAGAUAUCGGAAGGAACACCAGUGGCGAAGGCGGCGAUCUGGGUCGAUACUGACGCUGAGGUGCGAAAGCGUGGGGAGCAAACAGG